rnacentral:rRNA from 1 species
AUGCGUGGUCUGCAGCUGCCGCUCCUCCAAGUUGCCCUUCGCUGCGCAAAGGACAUUGAUCUCAUCCGCUGCGUCGGGGAUCUUGGGCAUGCGGUUUCCCCCACGGGCAGCGGGCAUGCUGUUUUCCCCACGGGCAGCGACCUCCAAGUCUGCGUCAUUGGCGGUUGGGGGGGGGGGCGCACCCCUCCUCGUCAUUCUCCAUCGCAAGCCCCCCACUCUUCCCUGUGCGGUGCAGACCAACAGCCGUCCGACAGGAAGAAGGCAUGGUGUCACCGACAACAACGCACCACGUAG